AACGAGACAGGAGUCUCGACUACUGUCGCCGCGACAUAGUUAAGGCCUAACCACUGUCCAAUCCGCAUAACCAGGUGCACGGAUUCCGUCGUGGAACAAUCGGAGAUCGACGAAGGAACGGAUAUAUUAUAGCGCAAAAAGCUGACUAAUCGGUCAGCUCCGGAACUAGAAUCGUUCUCUCAUGGACGACGGUGACUAAUCCCAUUUCUUUGACUAAGCUGUACGCCAUCACCUGCACACGAUCCACUCGGUGCGGUGGCUGGAAUUCUUCGUACGUUUGCUGUCGUCGCACCGGGACACACCGGGGCCCAGGUUGACUCAAACCGCGUCGCUCUUUCAUUUAGAUGCUGCUAAAACCUGCAGGCUCGUGAGAUUACUUUUUAUGACUCUGACGACGCUGAAAUAAAUUUACAACAAUUCUGCGAUUCUGAAAAUAAGCGAGUGCAGCCACAGAAACCAUAUGGAGGGCUGAGAAUGAUAAUGGUAUAAUUCAGUUCACUGCUAGUGCUUAUAUAAUGAUAUUCCGCGCCUAUUGUUACGAAAGAUUGAUCAUUAAGUUGCGACUUAAUUAAACAUUACGCUAAAGAGAUAAUACAUGUAGAAGUUAAAAUA